AGAGUUUGAUCCUGGCUCAGGACGAACGCUGGCGGCACGCUUAACACAUGCAAGUCGAACGAGAGAAGAGGAGCUUGCUUUUCUGAUCUAGUGGUGGACGGGUGAGUAACACGUGAGCAAUCUGCCUUUCAGAGGGGGAUACCGAUUGGAAACGAUCGUUAAUACCGCAUAACAUAAUUGAACCGCAUGAUUUGAUUAUCAAAGACUUAUCGCUGAAAGAUGAGCUCGCGUCUGAUUAGCUAGUUGGUAAGGUAACGGCUUACCAAGGCGACGAUCAGUAGCCGGACUGAGAGGUUGAUCGGCCACAUUGGGACUGAGACACGGCCCAGACUCCUACGGGAGGCAGCAGUGGGGAAUAUUGCACAAUGGAGGAAACUCUGAUGCAGCGAUGCCGCGUGAGGGAAGAAGGUUUUAGGAUUGUAAACCUCUGUCUUCAGGGACGAAAAAAGACGGUACCUGAGGAGGAAGCUCCGGCUAACUACGUGCCAGCAGCCGCGGUAAUACGUAGGGAGCGAGCGUUGUCCGGAAUUACUGGGUGUAAAGGGAGCGUAGGCGGGAUCGCAAGUCAGAUGUGAAAACUAUGGGCUUAACCCAUAAACUGCAUUUGAAACUGUGGUUCUUGAGUGAAGUAGAGGUAAGCGGAAUUCCUAGUGUAGCGGUGAAAUGCGUAGAUAUUAGGAGGAACAUCAGUGGCGAAGGCGGCUUACUGGGCUUUAACUGACGCUGAGGCUCGAAAGCGUGGGGAGCAAACAGGAUUAGAUACCCUGGUAGUCCACGCCGUAAACGAUGAUUACUAGGUGUGGGGGGACUGACCCCUUCCGUGCCGCAGCAAACGCAAUAAGUAAUCCACCUGGGGAGUACGACCGCAAGGUUGAAACUCAAAGGAAUUGACGGGGGCCCGCACAAGCAGUGGAGUAUGUGGAUUAAUUCGAAGCAACGCGAAGAACCUUACCAGGUCUUGACAUCGUAUGCAUAGCUCAGAGAUGAGUGAAAUCUCUUCGGAGACGUAUAGACAGGUGGUGCAUGGUUGUCGUCAGCUCGUGUCGUGAGAUGUUGGGUUAAGUCCCGCAACGAGCGCAACCCUUACUGUUAGUUGCUACGCAAGAGCACUCUAGCAGGACUGCCGUUGACAAAACGGAGGAAGGUGGGGAUGACGUCAAAUCAUCAUGCCCCUUAUGACCUGGGCCUCACACGUACUACAAUGGCUGUCAACAGAGGGAAGCAAAGCCGCGAGGUGGAGCGAACCCCUAAAAGCAGUCUUAGUUCGGAUUGUAGGCUGCAACCCGCCUACAUGAAGUCGGAAUUGCUAGUAAUCGCAGAUCAGCAUGCUGCGGUGAAUACGUUCCCGGGCCUUGUACACACCGCCCGUCACGCCAUGGGAGUCGGUAACACCCGAAGCCUGUAGUCUAACCGCAAGGAGGACGCAGUCGAAGGUGGGAUUGAUGACUGGGGUGAAGUCGUAACAAGGUA
rnacentral:rRNA from 1 species